UGCGAUAAGGGGACCCCGAGUGCGAGGGCAUACAGUCCUCGCUUUUCUGAACGGUAAGGACGUUCAGGAACAAGUGCUGGGCAAGACCGGUGCCAGCCGCCGCGGUAAUACCGGCAGCACGAGUGAUGGCCGAUCUUAUUGGGCCUAAAGCGUCCGUAGCCGGCCGAGCAAGUUCGUCGGGAAAUCCACCAGCUCAACUGGUGGACGUCCGGCGAAAACUGUUCGGCUUGGGGCCGGAAGACCCAAGGGGUACGUCCGGGGUAGGAGUGAAAUCCUGUAAUCCCGGACGGACCGCCGAUGGCGAAAGCACCUUGGGAAGACGGACCCGACGGUGAGGGACGA
rnacentral:rRNA from 1 species